GGAAUUCAAGUACCUUCUUGGAGUCAAACCAACACCUGGAAAGGAACUAAGAGGUGUUCCUCUAGUAAGGCAUCCAAAAUCGAUGAAAUUACCAAAAGAAUUUGAUGCAAGAACCGCUUGGCCACAUUGUAGCACCAUUGGAAGAAUUCUUGGUCAGUUGCUACCUGUUUGCAUUGCUUGGUUCUCUGUUUUUGUCUACUUAAUUUUCAAGGUGCUGAUGCUUUGCUCCUUUAUAUGGAAAAUGCUGGAUCAACUUCAAAAUGAUAGAUCAGGUAAAAAAAAUGUUUUUCUUUCUUUCUCUUGGAUUUUGUCUAUAUAAACCUUACCGGUUCUCAACACAUUUCAAAUCUGAUAAUCCAGGGUCACUGUGGAUCCUGUUGGGCAUUUGGUGCUGUUGAAUCACUAUCAGAUCGUUUUUGCAUCCAUUAUGGCAUGGUAACUGAAUCUUAUGAUUCAAAUUAGUUAUUUCUAUUUGAACAAAAAACAUUGACUAAUUAUGCUGUUCCAAUAUAAUCACACACGUCCUUUUAUUGCAGAACCUCUCUCUAUCCGUCAAUGACCUCUUAGCUUGCUGUGGCUGGAUGUGCGGUGAUGGUUGUGAUGGGGGUUAUCCAAUUGAUGCAUGGAGAUACUUUGUCCAAUCUGGUGUUGUCACUGAGGAGGUACUAGUUUCUGGCUUUGCAUAUUACCUUGACCCUUGAUAUCUUUCCUCUUAGUUUAGAUUGCUUAACUAGAUACCGAGAGGGCACCCCAUUUUGAUCAUGCCCAAUCUGUUCCACAAUCAUGAUCUUUAUCAAAAAUUUCAUCUGGCAGUGUGAUCCAUACUUUGAUGAUAUUGGCUGUUCUCACCCUGGUUGCGAGCCAGGAUUUCCUACUCCAAAGUGUGAAAGAAAAUGUGCCGAUAAGAACAAGCUCUGGGCAGAGUCCAAGCACUUCAGUGUUAAUGCUUAUAGAAUUGAUUCUGAUCCCCACAGCAUCAUGGCUGAAGUUUCCAUGAACGGACCUGUAGAGGUGGCCUUCACUGUUUAUGAGGUAAAAACUCGGUUCAUUCUCUUUUGCUGACACUUGAUGCACUUGAUUGUUUUGCAGUGCUUAAACUAUAGCUUGCUUAUUAAGUUGAAGAAAUUCUGAGUUUUAGACAAGCAGGGAUAACAUCAGUGGGAGUUUGCUAACAUUUGAUCUCAUAAGAAUCUCGUUUUUAGCUGUACUUGCACUUUCAUUCAUGCGUGACGAAUGCCAUUAUUAAUUUAUCAUACAAGUAUAUGCAAAUUAUGCCCAUAGAAAAAGUUAUACGCAAAUUGCAUGAAGAUAGACGUUCCUGGGAAAUACACCUUGUAUACUUAUUUAAUUGAAAUAAUCUGUUUACCAUUCUACAGGAUUUUGCUCAUUAUAAAUCAGGAGUUUACAAGCACAUAACAGGUGAUGUCAUGGGAGGCCAUGCUGUUAAGCUUAUCGGGUGGGGGACUUCUGAUGACGGGGAGGAUUAUUGGGUAUGUGUUAAUAAUACCAUUUCUUUUUCCAGAUUCCAUGACCAUUGUUUCUCAUAUAAUAUUAGUAUAAUUAUGUACUCUCUUUUUGUCGCAGCUUCUUGCUAACCAGUGGAAUAGAGGCUGGGGUGAUGUAGGUUCUUUUGAUCAGAAUUUCUGUCCAUGUUGAAUUACUGUCAUAAAAGUUUUCUCAAACGCUAACUUGCAAUUUCACUUUGAAUGACAGGAUGGCUACUUUAAAAUCAGAAGAGGAACAAAUGAGUGUGGUAUUGAAGAGGAUGUUGUUGCUGGUUUGCCUUCAACCAGGAACCUCGUCAGAGAAGUUGCCAAGAUCGAUGCCCAUGAGCAUGCCUCGGCGUGAUAAUGGAUUAUCCCUUUUCAAAUUGAUGUGAUUUAUGUACGAAUCAUGUGCUUUAGCGAUAAAUUAUGCUAUAGUUUGAUCUCAACUGCAUGAGGGAUGCUUUCUUCAACAGUACUCAAUUUGAUUGAAAUAAUAUGUGAAAGAUGCCAUAGUUUGAUCCUUCUAUUUUUUGUUCAAACUGUAUCCCUGUUGUAUAACAGAAUGUCUACACUCUUAUUUUGGCUCAUCAUGAACGGACCAAAUGAUUAUAGGAAUUAGGAGUUGGAGAAUGACAUUAGGACAAAAAAAAUAACAGGGAAAAUUAUAUUUAGCCUGCAAUAAUUUGAUUGUUUUUUCCUGUGUUUUAAGAAAUUAUAUUUUAUAUCUUUAGUCAAUUUAAAAUAAAAUAAAAUAAAAGAUAAACUUACCUUUAUAUUAUACACAACAUAAACACAAAAACUACAUUUACAUAGAUUUGGAUUCUCUCUUUGUAUAAUUUCUUCUCUCCCUCUCUGCAAACACAGAAAUCACAUAUCACUUUGAGUGCCAGGCAUCACCAAAUUCAAAUCUUGAGCAACCAGAUGUCUAAUUCCUGGAAGAUUCAAUGUGGUGGUGAUUCAUAGUAAAAUUGAUCAUUCUCAGGAAUUUCAUUACAAUUUUGAAUUCAAGCUUGUGAUUGAGCUUGAUAUAACAAUAACAUGUAUCGAGACAUUAAUAUUAUAGAAAUUGAACCCUCACCCAACACGCAUGAAGAAACAUGAAUGAGAAGUAUGGAAAACGCCACGAAACUUGGUUAAUUUUUCGUUAAGUCAAAGUAGUUCAAUGAAGAAUCAAAAUAAAAAAAUUUUCUCUCACACAUAAUAAAUUAUUAUGAAAUCAAAAUCUAUAUAAAAAAAACCUAAUUACAAGCUAAAUAACCAUAUUUAUAUAAGAAAAAACAUCACAAACAAAAUUAGAAAAAUAAUAAAAGAGUUCUAAAUAAAAUAGAGAAAAAAAUCUUAAAUCAACUAGGAAACUAAUACAAUUCCCGCAUAACAGCUUCUGGACUUUAUCACAAGACCUUCAUGAAAUUCGAUCACUAUGGAAUUAAUCGUAUAUAAAAUAAGGCCUUUAGAAUCAUCUAAAAAACUUUCAGUUCAAUCCAACGGCUAGGUCAGAAAUUAUGUUUGUCAGUGUAAAGCUGUGUAUUAGAAAAUAUAAGUCCAAAACCGCCUCUAAUGUCCUUGAAUGAUAAUGAAACCUUAUCAAUGAGAAAAUUCACAAAAUAAAAAGCAAACAUGCUGACAUUGAAACCUUUGCCAAAACAACUCCAAUUGUUGCCAUGUAUAUUGUCCUUGUAGAAAAAGAGUUAUUUCUAAAUAAGAAGUCCACAAAUCAUAAAGAAACAAAUAUCGAAAGUCAUACAACAACUUCUGGCCUAUAUCGCGACGUCUUUCCAAACUUCGAUUAAUCUGCAAUUUUAAUCCAAUAUAAAGCAAGACUUCUGAAAACUUCUGAUGAAAUUUUAGUUUGAUCGAACGGUUGAAUUAAAAAUUAUGCUUGUUAGAGUAAAAUCUAAUAUGAUUGUCAAACAAUUGAAUGGAUUUUGUGAGGAAUUUUUUUUAUAGUACGAUGCUUGGCCAAUUUUUUUUGGCAAAAUAGCAUAUGCCAAAAAAUUAUUUUUUGAAAGUGUAAUAAAGUUAUUAGAGUUUAGAAUAUAAAUUAUAAAGUGUAACUUUUUAAAAUACAGAAAGUAAAACAAAAAAAUGGUCAAACUUUAGAAGACUUGAUGUAACUUUCUCAAAAUAAUACAAUGACCAAACUAAGAUAAAAUUGAAAAUAGAGGGACCAUACAAACAUCGCUAACUGAUAGAUCUUAGAUUCUUCGCCUUGGCCACCUAAGAUUUGAAAAUCUUGUCAUAUUAGUCCAUAAACUUCAAUUUUGGUCGGUCGUGCAUUGUCUCUCCAUUCAAACACGUCACUUACAGUGCAAAAUGCCUACUAACAUAGUUUAUUUCAAGAGAUCAAUGAUUUAGAUGGUGUCAUGUGCAUAGAUAUUAAUCUAGAAAUAAAUAAAUGAAAAUUGAUAACCAAAAUUAAAUAAAAAAAUAAAAAUCUUUUCAUCCUUUUCUUUUUCAAAAAAGAAAAUAUUAAAUUUUGCAACUAAAUUUUUUUAUUCCCUAUUUAAUUUUUCUUAAUUGAAGGUAUUCAUUCAUGUAGCUCAAUUAAAACUAUUGAACCCAUGAUCUUUUAGGAUUCGUUUGAGAUUAUAGUAGUGGUUAUGAUUUAAAAUAUUUUUUACUUAGAAAUACAUUAAAAUAAUAUAUUUUUUUAUUUUUUAAAAAUUAUUUUUUAUAUUAAUACAUCAUAAUAAUCUAAAAAUAUAAAAAAAAUUUAACAAUUUUCUUUUAAAAUUUAAAAAAAUAUGGUUUGCACUAUUAAAAUAAAAAAAAUUAUUUUUUAUUUUAAUACAUCAUAAUAAUCUAAAUAUGGUUUGCACCGCAUUCUAAAUAAGUUAAGGGUAAUACAGCGGUCCAAACACUAUUAGGCAAAAAUUAAUUAUUUUAAAAUUAAUUUUUUAAGUGUUUUUAAGAGGAUUUUAAAAUUAAUUUUUUAAGUGUUUUUAAGAGGAUAAUAUAAGUGCACGUUAGGUUUUGGGCUUUUCAACCAAUCUGUGCUGGCGUCCCAAAUCCAAUAAGAAGGGUCAAGGACGCAUGGUCCAUCUUUAUUCGGCACCGAACAACUGACGGAUAUUUCUAUCUUCUCCUUCCUUCGCCAGACACGACAGAGGAAGACGAGCAAAUGGAAACUAGUCUCUGCUUUUCCACUCUGCUGUUGCUUCUCAUCGGUGCCAUCUUUACCUUUCAGUCUCAGGUACAAACUUCUUUUUUCUCAAAAUAAAAAUAAUUAUGGGAAACCCGAUCAUCUUCUUUUCAGUUUUAAUAUUCAUCUUUGUACAAAAUUAUAUUUCCAAUCUUGGUGGAUAUCGGAUUUUACACUUGUUAGAGAGCCCGAUAGACACGAUCAAGCUUAAUUUGUGUUUCUCGAUUACAUAGAAACAACAACAAAUGACCGUAUCUCAUAACAAUUAGGUAGAAAAAAGAAGAAGAAGCAGAAAUUGUGAUGUCAAAUCGCACCAUCUUCACCUGCAGAGAAACAAACCUCAAUCUCUGAAGAUUAUGAGGAUGGAUGAGACGAUUUCUAAAAUUGAUUGAUUUUUUUUUAAUAAAGAAAUACAACUUCAUCAUGACAUUUUGCUUACUGAACAAUUUUGAUUAUAUUCUUGGGGCUUUUUAUUUUAUUGGAAUCUGCGAACUAUUUUUUUUUCUGGAUAUUAAUGUAUUCUGUUCCCGUUGUUGGAUGUCCCGUCUUUAUGUGUUGAAUUUCGGAAGUUACUAUUUUAGAGUUGGAUUGGUUAAGCAAUGCGACUGUCUACAGGUUAUUGCAGUGGAACCAGUCUCCGAUCUCAAGCUGAACUCCAGGAUUCUUCAGGUACUUCUUUUCUUUAGCUGGUCUUAUAUGAAGUCCUUUUGUGCUGAAUGUUUCUCACUUUCUCUCCUUUUGGUUUUGCUCUGACAAUGCAGGAUUCAAUACUUAAAAAAGUCAAUGGAAAUCCCAAAGCUGGAUGGAAAGCUACCAUGAACCAUCAUUUUUCCAAUUACACUGUGAGUAUUUAACUGACAGGACAUUUUUUUAUAUAUAUAAUUGAUUGAUAUAGUUCUAAGACUUCCCUUUCCCUUUCUUUUUCUUUUUUUUUUAAUUUACAUAUUGGAAAAAUUGCUAAUAUUUCUUUUUAAUUGGAUAUAGGUGCUUUUCUUUUUUAUUGCUAAUAUUUCAUCUUUUAUGCAUAGGUUGCCCAAUUCAAGUAUCUUCUUGGAGUCAAACCAACACCAAAAGAGGAGCUGAGGGGAAUUCCUGUAAUAAGUCAUCCGAAAUCCUUGAGAUUGCCAGAAGAAUUCGAUGCCAGAACAGCUUGGCCACAGUGCAGUACCAUUGGAAAAAUUCUAGGUCAUUUGCUUUCUUGCUUUCUAAUUUUCAUGGUUGUCUUCAUGGUGCUGAUUCUUCUUUAUUUUAUAUGGUAAAUGGCG
rnacentral:lncRNA from 1 species